UACGAAGGGGGCUAGCGUUGUUCGGAAUCACUGGGCGUAAAGGGCGCGUAGGCGGCUUUAUAAGUCGGGGGUGAAAGCCUGUGGCUCAACCACAGAAUUGCCUUCGAUACUGUAGAGCUUGAGACCGGAAGAGGUAAGUGGAACUGCGAGUGUAGAGGUGAAAUUCGUAGAUAUUCGCAAGAACACCAGUGGCGAAAGCGGCUUUCUGGUCCUUAACUGACGCUGAGGCGCGAAAGCAUGGGGAGCGAACGGG
rnacentral:rRNA from 1 species